rnacentral:rRNA from 1 species
UACAGAGGUCUCAAGCGUUGUUCGGAUUCAUUGGGCGUAAAGGGUGCGUAGGCGGCGCGGUAAGUCGGGUGUGAAAUCUCGGGGCUUAACCCAGAAAGGUCAACCGAUACUGCGGGGCUAGAGUGCAGAAGGGGCAACUGGAAUUCUCGGUGUAGCGGUGAAAUGCGUAGAUAUCGAGAGGAACACCUGCGGCGAAGGCGGGUUGCUGGGCUGACACUGACGCUGAAGCGCGAAAGCUAGGGGAGCGAACGGG